rnacentral:rRNA from 1 species
CCCUUAGAGUUUGAUCCUGGCUCAGGAUGAACGCUGGCGGCGUGCUUAACACAUGCAAGUCGAACGAAGCAUUUAAGACAGAUUACUUCGGUUUGAAGUCUUUUAUGACUGAGUGGCGGACGGGUGAGUAACGCGUGGGUAACCUGCCUCAUACAGGGGGAUAGCAGCUGGAAACGGCUGGUAAUACCGCAUAAGCGCACAGUACCACAUGGUACAGUGUGAAAAACUCCGGUGGUAUGAGAUGGACCCGCGUCUGAUUAGCUUGUUGGCGGGGUAACGGCCCACCAAGGCGACGAUCAGUAGCCGACCUGAGAGGGUGACCGGCCACAUUGGGACUGAGACACGGCCCAGACUCCUACGGGAGGCAGCAGUGGGGAAUAUUGCACAAUGGAGGAAACCCUGAUGCAGCGACGCCGCGUGAGUGAAGAAGUAGUUCGCUAUGUAAAGCUCUAUCAGCAGGGAAGAUAGAGACGGUACCUGACUAAGAAGCUCCGGCUAAU